rnacentral:rRNA from 1 species
AUUGAACGCUGGCGGCAUGCUUUACACAUGCAAGUCGAACGGCAGCGCGGGCUUCGGCCUGGCGGCGAGUGGCGAACGGGUGAGUAAUGCAUCGGAACGUGCCCAGUAGUGGGGGAUAGCCCGGCGAAAGCCGGAUUAAUACCGCAUACGACCUGAGGGUGAAAGCGGGGGACCGAAAGGCCUCGCGCUAUUGGAGCGGCCGAUGUCGGAUUAGCUAGUUGGUGGGGUAAAGGCUUACCAAGGCGACGAUCCGUAGCUGGUCUGAGAGGACGACCAGCCACACUGGGACUGAGACACGGCCCAGACUCCUACGGGAGGCAGCAGUGGGGAAUUUUGGACAAUGGGGGCAACCCUGAUCCAGCAAUGCCGCGUGCGGGAAGAAGGCCUUCGGGUUGUAAACCGCUUUUGUUCGGGAAGAAAUCCUCUGGGCUAAUACCCCGGGGGGAUGACGGUACCGGAAGAAUAAGCCCCGGCUAACUACGUG